rnacentral:sRNA from 1 species
GCUGUCACAUAUGUGAUGAAUCUUUCACAGAAGGCUUGGGCAAAGUUCUGGCUGGCUGGCUGCUUCUCCUCCUCAACCCAGCUGUUCAGAGUCUUUGCCAAUCUGAUGAGGGCCUUCUGCCACAGAUUCUGUUGCUGUUGAGCCUUCUCAAACUGCUUCUGUAGCUGAGAGGUGGCCGUGGGGAUGCUGUCACUGACUCCUUUGAGAACUGGAGGAGGCAUUGUAACAGUCUUUCUCUGCCUCUUGCCAGUCUUUUCAGUAACAAAAUUGGCCGGUGACUCCGGCUUCAGUGGCCUGGUGUAGGCCGUGUCAAUGUCCUUGGGUGGACGGGAGGGCGUUGAGGGCUCCAUGACCACUCAACCUGUGCAGUACACACACGUAGAGUAAUCGCAGAGGGUGUGCAAUGAUGUUGAAUGGGUUGAAGGGUUAAAAUUAUACAAAAACAGUUAGAAAAUGGAAAAAUUCAAAUGUACCCCUACGUUCGUGGGUAGUUGUAAGAAUGU